rnacentral:rRNA from 1 species
CGGGUGAGUAAUACAUCGGAACGUGUCUUCUAGUGGGGGAUAACUGCCCGAAAGGGCAGCUAAUACCGCAUGAGACCUGAGGGUGAAAGCGGGGGAUCGCAAGACCUCGCGCUGGAAGAGCGGCCGAUGUCCGAUUAGCUAGUUGGUGAGGUAAGGGCUCACCAAGGCGACGAUCGGUAGCUGGUCUGAGAGGACGACCAGCCACACUGGGACUGAGACACGGCCCAG